CCCGUAGCGAGCGCAACCCUUGUCCUUAGUUACCAGCACGUUAUGUGGGCACUCUAAGGAGAACUGCCGGUGACAAACCGGAGGAAGGUGGGGAUGACGUCAAGUCAUCAUGGCCCUUACGGCCUGGGCUACACACGUGCUACAAUGGUACGGUACAAAGGGUUGCCAAGCCGCGAGGUGGAGCUAAUCCCAUAAAAACCGAUCGUAGUCCGGAUCGCAGUCUGCAACUCGACUGCGUGAAGUCGGAAUCGCUAGUAAUCGUGAAUCAGAAUGUCACGGUGAAUACGUUCCCGGGCCUU
rnacentral:rRNA from 1 species